UGUAAUACAUAUCUUGACCAAAGCUUCUCCAUAUUAUCCCCCAUGAGACUUCCAUAGGAAGAAAUAUUUCCUGCUGUUGAAAAUCUGAUUAUGAAAUCAACUGAUUUUUCUGUUAAUAAUAAUGAAAGGAUUAUGGCAAUAAGACCAGGGAUUAUCCCUAUUUUUUUACACAAGUAGGUAAACUCAUGAUUCCGGCACCAACAACUGUGGUGGACAAAUUGAAGACAGCACUAGAAAAUGAAGCUCCAUUAAAUUUUCAUGGAACUUAACAUCACUUUCUUGAGUCUUAGGUAACAAAGGGGGAGAAAUAUAUGAAGCUAUGAUGCACACAUUCAGAGGGAGCUUUUCAAGAACAAUAAAUGCAUUAUCUCAAGUUUUGCAUUCAUCAAAAGGGUGGAGUAUAUGAGUGAAACUUUCCUUUUAGAUAUGUUUUGUAUGAUUUCAAAACUAGGAAAUAGCGUUUAUGUAAAUUGGACGGUAUCAUCCAAGUCUAGUUGUACAUUUUAGUGUUCUUUCAUUAAGAAGCAUGUCAACAUUGUUGGAAA